CAAGUCGAACGCAGUAGCAAUACUGAGUGGCAGACGGGUGAGUAACAUGUGGGAAUCUGCCUUGUGGUUCAGGACAACAUUGGGAAACCGAUGCUAAUACUGGAUAAGCCCUUACGGGGAAAGUUUUAAUGCCAUAAGAUGAGCCCGCACUUGAUUAGUUAGUUGGUGAGGUAAUGGCUCACCAAGACAAUGAUCAAUAGCUGAUCUGAGAGGAUGAUCAGCCAUACUGGGACUGAGACACGGCCCAGACUCCUACGGGAGGCAGCAGUGGGGAAUCUUGCACAAUGGAGGAAACUCUGAUGCAGCGAUGCCGCGUGAGUGAAGAAGGCCUUUGGGUUGUAAAGCUCUUUUGUAGGGGAAGAUAAUGACUGUACCCUAAGAAUAAGGUCCGGCUAACUUCGUGCCAGCAGCCGCGGUAAUACGAAGGGACCUAGCGUAGUUCGGAAUUACUGGGCGUAAAGCGCGCGUAGGCCGUUGAGUUAGUUAAUUGUGAAAUCCCAAAGCUUAACUUUGGAACUGCAAUUAAAACUGCUCGACUAGAGUUUGAUAGAGGAAAGCGGAAUACAUAGUGUAGAGGUGAAAUUCGUAGAUAUUAUGUAGAACACCAGUUGCGAAGGCGGCUUUCUGGAUCAACACUGACGCUGAGGCGCGAAAGUAUGGGUAGCAAAGAGGAUUAGAUACCCUCGUAGUCCAUACCAUAAACGAUGAUUGCUAGAUGUUGGAAAUUUAUUUUCAGUAUCGCAGCUAACGCAUUAAGCAAUCCGCCUGGGGAGUACGACCGCAAGGUUAAAACUCAAAUGAAUUGACGG
rnacentral:rRNA from 1 species